rnacentral:rRNA from 2 species
UUCAAUACUGUUGUUCGCGCAACAGUGUGCACUUUUCCCUUAGUAAGACGUUGUGAUCCAUUAGGAAUCGAAAAGUCAUCCAAUGUUGACCUCUCAAUAGGCUACCAAUAGGCGGGCAUUGAAGUUCACUGUGAAAAACAACACGAUCCUCUGGUUGUGCAUAUUUUCUUGUGAGCAAUGCCAUGUCUGAUGUAGCUGCCUGAUGGUUUUUAAAGGCCAUGCCAUUGAUGCUUGCAUCACCCGACUCCGGUUGGGUUUUCGGCAUGUGCCCGAUCAACAACGGUUUCAUUUGGGAUACCUUUGGGACCCGUCUUGAAACACGGACCAAGGAGUCUAUCUAGUAUGGGAGUAAAUGGGAGUAAAAAACCUAUUUGCGUAAAUAACUUGACUGUAAUUUUAAUGGGAUUACGUGUGCAUUUACUUUCGUGGUGUGCGCACCUCCAUCCCGGAGUAUUUUCAUCACAUAUAUGGUUUCGGCCGUUAUAUAGAAAAUAUAUCAUGAGCAUACUGGACAUGACCCGAAAGAUGGUGAACUAUGCCUGAUCAGGUUGAAGUCAGGGGAAACCCUGAUGGAGGACCGAAGCAAUUCUGACGUGCAAAUCG